UUAGGUACGUUAUUUACUCGCGUGGUUGCUCGCCCGUUACGUGCCCUUAUUUUAGUUUGCAUUACACUGAAAAAUCAGGAAAUGGACCAUCAACAUCAUCAUGAUACUUUAUUGUACAGUGAAUAUGGGGUACACUGAUGUCAUCGAUCGAUAGUAUCCGUUCACGCAAGUUGACAUACUUCCAACGGGAUACAUUACACUUCGACGUGCCGCCGACAUGCUGUAUCUGCCGACCGACGCCAGAAUAGCGUUCCUCGUCAUCUGUACUUUAAUGACGCUUACAAUGCUAGCGUACGUAAAGCUGCAAAUAUAUUUAAAUGGUGAAGAUAUCAUGAAACCGAAGCACCGAUCUCCACCACCGGAAUUUGGCAGCCAAGUAUUCGGUGACCACCGAUACGUGGAGCUAAGCAAUAUCACCGUUCAUUACAUGACCAAGGGAUGUGACGACAUCAACGAUGGCCGCGUAAUGGUACUGCUUUUACAUGGAUUUCCAGAUUUCUGGUUCGUGUGGAACAGGCAGAUACCUCGCCUAAGCAUGCA